rnacentral:rRNA from 1 species
GACGAACGCUGGCGGCGUGCUUAACACAUGCAAGUCGAACGGAAAGGCCCUGCUUUUGUGGGGUGCUCGAGUGGCGAACGGGUGAGUAAUACGUGAGUAACCUGCCCUUGACUUUGGGAUAACUUCAGGAAACUGGGGCUAAUACCGGAUAGGAGCUCCUGCUGCAUGGUGGGGGUUGGAAAGUUUCGGCGGUUGGGGAUGGACUCGCGGCUUAUCAGCUUGUUGGUGGGGUAGUGGCUUACCAAGGCUUUGACGGGUAGCCGGUCUGAGAGGGUGACCGGCCACAUUGGGACUGAGAUACGGCCCAGACUCCUACGGGAGGCAGCAGUGGGGAAUAUUGCACAAUGGGCGGAAGCCUGAUGCAGCAACGCCGCGUGCGGGAUGACGGCCUUCGGGUUGUAAACCGCUUUCGCCUGUGACGAAGCGUGAGUGACGGUAAUGGGUAAAGAAGCACCGGCUAACUACGUG